rnacentral:rRNA from 1 species
UACGUAGGGUGCAAGCGUUGUCCGGGAUUAUUGGGCGUAAAGAGCUCGUAGGCGGUCUGUCGCGUCGAAUGUGAAAACCCGGGACUCAACUCCGGGCCUGCAUUCGAUACGGGCAGACUAGAGUUCGGUAGGGGAGACUGGAAUUCCUGGUGUAGCGGUGAAAUGCGCAGAUAUCAGGAGGAACACCGGUGGCGAAGGCGGGUCUCUGGGCCGAUACUGACGCUGAGGAGCGAAAGCGUGGGGAGCAAACAGG